UAUGAGAGUUGCAAUUCAAAAUGGAUUGCUUUUAAUUCAACAGGUUUGGAAGUGGCCCUAAAUCAGAAGCUGUUUGGUCAACAUGUUGCCUCCAGAGUCGUCCAGAAAGCUGUAACGGGUUUCAUGAACGAUAAAAACCCUAWAAAGCCCCUGGUGCUCUCUCUACAUGGCUGGASUGGCACAGGGAAGAACUUAGUCAGCCAGUUGAUAGCUGAAAACAUCUACAAGAAGGGCAUGGCCAGCARKUUYRUCCAUCWGUUUGUGACUUCUACUCACUUCCCUCAUCUGAGUCAGCUUGAGAACUACAAGGUAAAACAAGUAUUUUGUUAUAUUGUAAUCCCCAGUAACCGUGGCAGGGAAAUUCUCAAUGGAGAAUUAGGCUGUAAAAAAAAAAA